rnacentral:rRNA from 1 species
AUUGAACGCUGGCGGCAGGCCUAACACAUGCAAGUCGAACGGUAACAGGAAGAAGCUUGCUUCUUUGCUGACGAGUGGCGGACGGGUGAGUAAUGUCUGGGAAACUGCCUGAUGGAGGGGGAUAACUACUGGAAACGGUAGCUAAUACCGCAUAACGUCGCAAGACCAAAGAGGGGGACCUUCGGGCCUCUUGCCAUCGGAUGUGCCCAGAUGGGAUUAGCUAGUAGGUGGGGUAACGGCUCACCUAGGCGACGAUCCCUAGCUGGUCUGAGAGGAUGACCAGCCACACUGGAACUGAGACACGGUCCAGACGCCUACGGGAGGCAGCAGUGGGGAAUAUUGCACAAUGGGCGCAAGCCUGAUGCAGCCAUGCCGCGUGUAUGAAGAAGGCCUUCGGGUUGUAAAGUACUUUCAGCGGGGAGGAAGGGAGUAAAGUUAAUACCUUUGCUCAUGGACGUUACCCGCAGAAGAAGCACCGGCUAACUCCGG